GGUUUGUGGCUCAGUGGUAGACCGCUCGCCUUGCAUGUGAGAGACUCUGGGUUCCAUCCUCAGCACCA
rnacentral:tRNA from 1 species